GAGGAUGGCGUAGCAUUUCAUGAGCUCAGCUGCGUGGCGCCCCGGAUUCUGCACCCUGAACGCUGUCCGCCACUCCUGUUUCAUCCACUCCACCCCCACCAGCCCCAACCCCAGGGACACAAUGCCACUGGUGACCCUAGCUUCAACCAGUUUGUACAAGUGUUAUGCUUCCCAUUCCAAACUCUAGGUAGAUGUACUGGGUUUUCUUUGAAGCAUGGCAGCAAGCCAUUGGUUCAGUGGUUUACACUGAUUUACAGCUCCUAUUGUGUCACCAAAUGGAUCUCCUCUUUCUCACAUGGGCUUCCUGCUGCAGUGACCCUGACCGACGGCUCGCUGUGCCGACACGUCCCAGAUUCGCCCCGGCGUGCCGAGCGGCUCCCCUUCCUCCCCUGCCAGCACCUCUCCGUGGGUCACCUGCCUCACCUGACCUCUCCCAGGCACCGGAUUGCUCUCUGCCCGUUCAGGUCAUUCCAACAGGGAGCCUGGGCCGGCCUGGGAAUGUGAGAACGAGGGACGGCUAAUCCCCCACGCUGGGCCGGCACCUGUUGAGAAGACACGGGAUGCAGGGGGACGGGCGACGGGGUCCGCAGGGAAUGCUGACAUCUUGGCGGUGACCUGAUCCGUCAGUUGUAUCAGAUGGUCACUCCUGGAACUGACCACCAAGCUGCCAAUCAAAGGCAACCCCCCCCUCUUUGCCUUAGACACAUUGGAGUGGUGGAAAAAGCUGAUGUUUCCAAAUCUUUCUAACAUUUGUUUUCCUUUUACAAAUAGAACAUAAACCUCAUAUAAAUCAUACUUAAACUCACAUACCAACAUCGGUGAUUACUGUCAUGCUGGGUCAUUUACUAGUACCCAUAUCAGGCUUUUCAUAAAAGAAUAUUUCAAAAUGAUCAUGGGAUAUUACAAUUAACAACAGUGUUUCAGUAGUGAUUUAUAACUAUCAUCAUUAGUCAUGUUUGUGGUGAUGACUAAUUCUGGUGGAACCACAACCUCAUGAAAACUGUGAUGCUGCGAUGCUUGUAAAUAAACUUCAUAUGAAUGCUCUAAUAUUAGGGUUU
rnacentral:lncRNA from 1 species